ACACCAGUGGUGAAACGGUUAUCAUGCUUGCCUUCCAUUCGUACUGUAGGAGUUCAAUGACAGCAAGCGGCGGGGGUUCGACUCCCUCCUGGUGUA